CCAAUAGCGUAUAUUAAAGUUGUUGCAGUUAAAAAGCUCGUAGUUGAAUUUCGGGAUCAAUACGUCGGUCGUGCUUUCGGGUACGUACUGGCGUCAUUGGUUUCUCCUUUCUGACGAACCAUGAUGUCAUUAAUUUGGUGUUAUGGGGAGUUAGGACUGUUACUUUGAAAAAAUUAGAGUGUUUAAAGCAGGCAUUAGCUUGAAUACAUUAGCAUGGAAUAAUGAAAUAGGACGUUCGAUCCUAUUUUGUUGGUUUCUAGGAUCAACGUAAUGAUUAAUAGGGAUAGUUGGGGGCAUUAGUAUUCAAUUGUCAGAGGUGAAAUUCUUGGAUUUAUUGAAGACUAACUACUGCGAAAGCAUUUGCCAAGGAUGUUUUCAUUAAUCAAGAACGAAAGUUAGGGGAUCGAAGACGAUCAGAUACCGUCGUAGUCUUAACCAUAAACUAUGCCGACUAGGGAUCGGAUGAUGUUAAUUUUUUAAUGACUCAUUCGGCACCUUACG
rnacentral:rRNA from 1 species